CAGUCGCCGCGGGAAUACGAAGGGGGCUAGCGUUGUUCGGAAUUACUGGGCGUAAAGCGCACGUAGGCGGAUAUUUAAGUCAGGGGUGAAAUCCCAGAGCUCAACUCUGGAACUGCCUUUGAUACUGGGUAUCUUGAGUAUGGAAGAGGUUAGUGGAAUUGCGAGUGUAGAGGUGAAAUUCGUAGAUAUUCGGAGGAACACCAGUGGCGAAGGCGGCUCACUGGUCCAUUACUGACGCUGGGGUGCGAAAGCGUGGGGAGCAAACAGGAUUAGAUACCCGCGUAGUCCCUGUCUCUUAUAC
rnacentral:rRNA from 1 species